UAGUCCACGCUGUAAACGAUGGUUACUAGCUGUUUGGGAGCAAUCCUGAGUGGCUAAGCGAAAGUGAUAAGUAACCCACCUGGGGAGUACGAUCGCAAGAUUGAAACUCAAAGGAAUUGACGGGGGCCCGCACAAGCGGUGGAGCAUGUGGUUUAAUUCGAUGAUACGCGAGGAACCUUACCAGGGCUUAAAUGUGGAUUGACAGGUUUAGAGAUAGACUUUUCUUCGGACAAUUCACAAGGUGCUGCAUGGUUGUCGUCAGCUCGUGCCGUGAGGUGUCAGGUUAAGUCCUAUAACGAGCGCAACCCCUGUUGUUAGUUACCAGCACGUAGUGGUGGGGACUCUAACAAGACUGCCGGUGCAAACCGUGAGGAAGGUGGGGAUGACGUCAAAUCAUCACGGCCCUUACGUCCUGGGCUACACACGUGCUACAAUGGCCGUGACAAAGAGUUGCUACUUUGUGAAAACAAGCUAAAUCUCAUAAACGCGGCCUCAGUUCGGAUUGCAGGCUGAAA
rnacentral:rRNA from 1 species